UUUCACAAGAAUUCUUUUGUUUUUCCUUGAGUGCUCAUAAUCGAUUCAAUCUUUAUUAGUCGUUUGAAUUCAAUCAUUCUGUUAAAAUAUUUAGCUCUAACUCAAUGUAAGUUGUUUAAUGAAAAUAUUUUUUUAUGACUUAAAAAGUUUAUCGAAGUUUGAAGAGGCUAUUUAUCUACAAGGCACAUGUGAAAGUACGAAGAAGUUUGAGUGGAAAAAAAAACUUUUGAAAGGUUGAAGAGCUUGUGUGAAAUCUUUAGUUUCUUGACUUUGAAUAAAAACUACUAGCAAUCACGAGAAAUAAAGAAUACUUGGGGAUGUCAUGAAGAGUUUCAAAACUUCUAGCAACAAUUAAGAGAUUGGUAGCUCUUAGGUUAAGUGAAUAGACCGUGUUAAAAUUGUCUUGCCACAUCUCAAAAUAAAAAUAUCAUGCCAUGCCUAUAUCCUUUAAUUUAUUCAACUAUAUUUAUUUGAAUUUGUGAAAAGACGAGCAUUAACGUGCACGUCUUUCCACUAUUUUUAUUGUGCUAAUGUUUGAAAAUUAUGAACGAUGUUUUUUUUUUUUUUUUUAUGAAAUUUUGGUUUUAAUUAAAACUAAAUAUAAAUAUUUGUUGCAUUAUUUUUAAUCUUUAGCUUUUUAAUGAAUUGAAUGCACAAAAUUUUAUAAAAU
rnacentral:lncRNA from 1 species